CACGACCAAACCUUAUCCUCCUCUUUUUUGUGCGUUCUGUCUCUCUUCCAGCUAUCCUCUCGUCAAUUCUCAUCGACCAUUCGACCUUAGUACCUCUCUACUUAGCCUCUCAUCAAAGAUUCCGACUUGCUUAACAAGAACGACACCCAACCCAGACUCCUCAGCCUCAUCGACGUUUCCUGCGAGGACGAUUCCCUCAUUGACUCCUUCGCCUCAGCUCGGAUGAAUGCUUUGAUUUGUUUUUGGAAAUUCAAACUCACUUGAAAGCUUGUUGCUUUAGUCAUUUCUGAUUUUCCGAUAUCUAAAUUUGGGGAUCUUUUGGAUACCUGGUUAGGUUUACAGUUAGAUUUCCGAGUUUUGAUACUAAUUUUAUUGAAAGAGUAAUCUUGAUUUUUGUUCUUGUUUGCACGGUUCAAAAUUAGAACACAAAAUUGUAAUAAGCUAAUUGAUCAGUUUGCAGGUAAGAAGGCAAGGAGAUGGAUUUUCAAAUGAAUAUCAAUCAACACUGCUAGAAUGUGUUAUUUUGAGGGUUUCAGAUCAAAGCAUCUUUUUGUAAUUAUUUUUUGCUGCAAACUUUAUGUUUGUAUUGAAUAUUUAGCCUCUUUUGUAGGCUAUAUUGAUCAUAUAUUAUUGGUUAUUUGAUUUUACAUUGUGAGUUUGUUUGAUUAUAAAUUUCAUAUAAGAUUGAAGUUUGGAGGGCCGCAUCUUAAACUUUCGCACAGGGCCUCUGAAAAGUUUGAGACGACUCUGUCCUUUUCCAUUAACAAGAACCAAAAUCAUCUGGAAGAACAGCACUUCUAAUCAAUAAAGGUACACUUCGAGGAGAUGCUGAAGAAAUAUGCUCGGAUGAAUAUCGUGGAGGAGAUGCUGAAGAAAUAUGCUCGGAUGAAUAUCGUAUCCACGUAAUGAACUGCUCAAAACUCAAAACAGAUGUGUGUUGAAGCUUGCAUUCGCAGAUUUAACGAAAGCAUCAAUAUAUGGUGCUUGCAUGGAUGGCAACAUCGACUGUUGUUGCGUCGAUCCAGUGUUAUGAUAAUAAGCAAUAAACUCCUUCACCUACCCAUAAAGGAAGAUAUGAUAUAGUAUUCCGAUCUGACUAGCUCCUUUAUUCCAAAUAUAGCAAUCUCUGCCACUCCUGCCAACAUAUAAUUACAAAGUAAUAAUUGUGUUUGAUCGCUACGUUGUUCUUCAUGAAACCUAGCUAGUCGUUCUUUUUCAUAAUUGUUUUUUUUUUCUCUCUCUCUCUUUUCUUGUUGCA